UACGGGGGGGGCAAGCGUUGUUCGGAAUUACUGGGCGUAAAGGGCUUGUAGGUGGCCAACUAAGUCAGACGUGAAAUCCCUCGGCUUAACCGGGGAACGGCCUCUGAUACUGGAUGGCUUGAGUUCGGGAGAGGGAUGCGGAAUUCCAGGUGUAGCGGUGAAAUGCGUAGAUAUCUGGAGGAACACCGGUGGCGAAGGCGGCAUCCUGGACCGACACUGACGCUGAGGAGCGAAAGCCAGGGGAGCAAACGGG
rnacentral:rRNA from 1 species